UCUAGCUUGAGUGGCUUAGUUAACGUGUGUGGGCCUCAGUUCCGACAAAUAUAAAAUUAAACAGUUGGAUCGAACCAAGGUUAGUCAAAUGCCCGUGGGAGGAAAUUGUUUAAUUACCCAGAAGCCUCCGAGAGACUGGAGAAACUCAGCCAUGAGCAGAGAAACUGGCUUCACUCUGCUUGACCCUGAAGUGGUGAGAGUCACUAACCUUGACAAGACCCAGGAAGUGGAUCAUGGCAUGAAGAGGACAAUGGACAAAAAGCUGAUACACGAUGUCUUCAAAAAUUACUGAAAAUACUGCGGGAUUGUAUUUAAGCUUUGGAUUUGGAAGGUGGACAGCUGCUCCUGGCAAGAAUCAGAUUAUUUUUAUUUGUGUGUGGAAGGGUUGCCAGUGAAUGCAGGAAGAGGACACUGGAUCCUUUGGAGCUGGAGUUCCAUCUAGGUGGCUGCAUGCUGUUGGACAUGGGUAUUGGGAACUGAACUCUGGUCCUCUGGAAAAGCAAGACGUAAAUUUAGUCACUCUCCAUCCCCCAAAAUAUACUUUCAGAAAAGACCCACGAUAUCCUGUUUGUUAUAACAAGAACAUGAGCAUCACCCAAAGGUGGAGUUUGAUAUUCUAUAGACAGCUGAGAUGGAGUUUAUAGUAAACUACCAGGGUAGAUGUACUCAUUGAGAAACCUCAAUUAAUACAACAUGGCAACAAUGACUGGUGUCUGUGAGGACCUGAUAAGACCCAUCAUCUCUCCACACAUGAAAUGGAAACAGUCUUAUAAAAAACAUGCUAUCUGGAAGCUGUUGGUUCUGCUCCUGGCUCCCUAGCUUUUGAGUUGCAUAGCCCCAGGCAAGAUUCACAAUCUGUAUAUUACACUCUCAUUGUUGGCAAGAUGAUGAUGGCAGUAGUGAUGACUUGUAUGUGGAGUUUUCCUGUCCCGAUAGAUUGCCUGCUCCCAAACAGCAGGCAGUAGUUUCCCAAAUAACUGACUCAGAGACAAUAUAAAUUAUAAAUGCUUGGCCAAUAUCUCAGGCUUGUUACUAACUAGCUCUUACAACUUAACCCAUUUCUAUUAAUCUAAGUGCUGCCCCAAGGCUUGUGGCUUUUACCUCUAUACUAUUUUGUGUGUCUGACUUGUUUUCCAUCUGGCUGGCAACUUCUCUGACUGCCCUUCCUCCUCCUAUCAUUUUCAGCUUGGCUUUCCCUCCUAAUUUUAUCCAGUUCAGCUAUUGACCAGUCAACUUGUUUAUUAAACCAAUCAUAGUGACAUAUAUUCACACAGUGAACAGAAGGAUUAUUCCACAACAAUGAUUGAUGCAAAGGUCAGGAGGAAUGAUGACGAUAAUUCAUGGAAAAUACUUUUCCAAAGCAUCUGGAAUAUUUGUCCUUAAUAGGGAUCACCCAGAAAAGGAAGGAAGGGAG